GGGCGUAGCAAUACGUCAGCGGCAGACGGGUGAGUAACGCGUGGGAACGUACCUUUUGGUUCGGAACAACACAGGGAAACUUGUGCUAAUACCGGAUAAGCCCUUACGGGGAAAGAUUUAUCGCCGAAAGAUCGGCCCGCGUCUGAUUAGCUAGUUGGUGAGGUAACGGCUCACCAAGGCGACGAUCAGUAGCUGGUCUGAGAGGAUGAUCAGCCACAUUGGGACUGAGACACGGCCCAAACUCCUACGGGAGGCAGCAGUGGGGAAUAUUGGACAAUGGGCGCAAGCCUGAUCCAGCCAUGCCGCGUGAGUGAUGAAGGCCCUAGGGUUGUAAAGCUCUUUUGUGCGGGAAGAUAAUGACGGUACCGCAAGAAUAAGCCCCGGCUAACUUCGUGCCAGCAGCCGCGGUAAUACGAAGGGGGCUAGCGUUGCUCGGAAUCACUGGGCGUAAAGGGUGCGUAGGCGGGUCUUUAAGUCAGGGGUGAAAUCCUGGAGCUCAACUCCAGAACUGCCUUUGAUACUGAGGAUCUUGAGUUCGGGAGAGGUGAGUGGAACUGCGAGUGUAGAGGUGAAAUUCGUAGAUAUUCGCAAGAACACCAGUGGCGAAGGCGGCUCACUGGCCCGAUACUGACGCUGAGC
rnacentral:rRNA from 1 species